CGUGUUUAUUGUACCUUGUUGCUUCGGCGGGCCCGCCUCACGGCCGCCGGGGGGCAUCUGCCCCCGGGCCCGCGCCCGCCGAAGACACCUUGAACUCUGUAUGAAAAUUGCAGUCUGAGUCUAAAUAUAAAUUAUUUAAAACUUUCAACAACGGAUCUCUUGGUUCCGGCAUCGAUGAAGAACGCAGCGAAAUGCGAUACGUAAUGUGAAUUGCAGAAUUCAGUGAAUCAUCGAGUCUUUGAACGCGCAUUGCGCCCCCUGGUAUUCCGGGGGGCAUGCCUGUCCGAGCGUCACUGCUGCCCUCAAGCCCGGCUUGUGUGUUGGGUCUCGUCCCCCUUCCCGGGGGGACGGGCCCGAAAGGAAGCGGCGGCGCCGCGUCCGGUCCUCGAGCGUAUGGGGAUUUGUCACGCGCUCUGUAUGCCCAGCCGGCGCUUGCCGAUCAACCAAAACUUUUUUGCGGGUAGACCUCGGAUGCGGUAGGGAUGCCCGCUGAACUAAAGCAUAUCGUUAAUCGGAGGA
rnacentral:rRNA from 1 species